CUCUCACUGAGCCUGGUAGCCACUGACCAACCUCUGAGAAGCCUCAACAUUUUGAACGCAAAAGAAGCACAGGAGAACCUUGUAACACCUGGGAUUGAAAAGAGAAAACAUGUGAGAAAAAGAAGGAAAGAAAGGAUACGGAGGCUAGUAACUUAGUGGUUAAAAAAAAAAAAAUCCUUGGAACUGAAAGAUGCAAAAUCAGAG
rnacentral:lncRNA from 1 species